CCAACCCCAUUCACGAUACCUUCAUCAAAGUUGUUCAAGAGUCAGAUGAAAUUGUAUGAGAGACCAAAUCAGGUAUAAUUGAGGUCAGCAGCACUGAUAUUACUCAAGCAUUUUCAUAUUUCAUAUAGCAACGGUUAGAAAGGGUUUGAGAGAGCGCUCUUAGAAAUUCAAAUCCAACAGAAAAUAUUAAUCUUACUUUGGAUCUUCUGUAAUGCGAUGCAAUACAAACAGAGAUUCCACAGUUUCGGGGCGCAAAAGAUUAUGGCGAUCAGGAUGCUUGAUAAUAAUAUCGUCCACAUACUCUGAGCUUUUAUUCCCACCACUAAGGCCAUCUUCAGUGUUUCCCUGAUUCAAAAGUGAGAAGCAGAAAUUACUUUUCAAGUUCCACUACAAAGAGAACUAAGCUUGAAGUAGAAAAGUGAAACUUCCCAGUCACCGUCAACGGAAGUCAUAUUCACCAGUAAUAACACGUCU
rnacentral:lncRNA from 1 species